AGUCGAGCGAGAUUUUUUCCUGUAGCAAUACAGGGAAAAGUCUAGCGGCGAACGGGUGCUUAACACGUGGGCAAUCUGCCGAGAAGUGGGGGAUAGCUCGCCGAAAGGCGAAUUAAUACCGCAUGUGAUGAGAGUGGACAUCCAUUCAAAAUCAAAGUCGGGGCAACCUGACGCUUCUUGAGGAGCCCGCGGCCUAUCAGCUAGUUGGUGAGGUAACGGCCCACCAAGGCUUAGACGGGUAGCUGGUCUGAGAGGACGACCAGCCACACUGGGACUGAGACACGGCCCAGACACCUACGGGUGGCAGCAGUCGAGAAUUUUUCUCAAUGGGGGAAACCCUGAAGGAGCGACGCCGCGUGGAGGAUGAAGGUCUUCGGAUUGUAAACUCCUGUCAUUGGGGAACAAUGCGUAAAUAUUAACUGUAUUUGCGUUGAUAGUACCCGAAGAGGAAGAGACGGCUAACUCUGUGCCAGCAGCCGCGGUAAUACAGAGGUCUCAAGCGUUGUUCGGAUUCAUUGGGCGUAAAGGGUGCGUAGGCGGCGCGGUAAGUCGGGUGUGAAAUCUCGGAGCUUAACUCCGAAACUGCAUUCGAUACUGCCGUGCUUGAGGACUGGAGAGGAGACUGGAAUUUACGGUGUAGCGGUGAAAUGCGUAGAUAUCGUAAGGAAGACCAGUGGCGAAGGCGGGUCUCUGGACAGUUCCUGACGCUGAGGCACGAAGGCCAGGGGAGCAAACGGGAUUAGAUACCCCGGUAGUCCUGGCAGUAAACGGUGCACGUUUGGUGUGGGAAGGAUUCGACCCCUUCUGCGCCGGAGCUAACGCGUUAAACGUGCCGCCUGGGGGA
rnacentral:rRNA from 1 species